GGGCGCUGGCGGCGGGUCGAGGCGAUGCGUGCGGAGCGGGGAGCUAUGGCGGCCGCGCAGUGGGAAAUCCGUGCCGUGGCGGGGGGCUACGAGGACAGCGACAGCGACGAGGACGGCUGGGAUAUCGGUGUAGUGCGGCAGGAGCCACUGCAGUUGGAUCAAAUGUUGCAGGCGGACAAGAAUGAAGCAUUAAGGAAGGCUCUGUUUCAUGGUGAUGUGUCAUUAAUUGAAGAACUCUUAAAUUCCGGUGUAAACAUAGAAUCUAGGAUUCAGUUUGAUUGGACUCCCCUGAUGUGUGCUGCCAGUAUGGCUGACUCUGCGGUAGUGCGUUUUCUUCUGGACAGAGGUGCUAAUGCAUGUUUUGAAAUAGAUAAGUACACUGUGCUGAUGGCAGCGUGCACCGCACAUACUUCAGAGGAAAAAGUCUUGAAGACUGUGGAAGUGCUGCUGACAAGGAAUGCUGACCCUAACCUUACUUGCAGGAGACAAAUGACUCCCCUGAUGUAUGCAGCUCGAAAAGGCUAUCCUCAGGUUGUUGCUCUUCUUGUCGCUCAUGGAGCACACAUAAAUGCCCAAGAUGACAAUGGAUAUUCGGCAUUGAUAUGGGCAGCACAGCAUGGACAUAAAAAUGUAACUCUUAAGUUGCUUGAGCUGGGGGCUGACAAAAAUCUACGGACUAAGUGUGAGAAAACAGCAGCAGAGAUAGCAAAAAUCAAUAAACAUUCAGAGAUUUAUAGUUUACUGUCUUUGGCUGCAAACUACUUGCAAGGGAGAUCCCAUGAAACAAUUAAGGAGGAGGCUAUCUACAAAUAUGUAACAGCUGCCCCUGACCAAGGAAUUAGUUCCUAUUCAACUUUCAAUGACACGGAAGUGUUUUUACAAGGUCUUGGUCUAGAACACAUAAUAGGAUUAUUCAGGGAAAGAGAUACAACUUUAACACAACUUCUGAUCAUGCAAAAAGAUGAGUUAAUACAGAUUGGCCUUACAAAUCCUGAAGAUCAGGAGAAACUCCUAGAUGCCAUUAACAAGCUAAAAGUGGGAGAAGCAAGAAUGGGAGAUGUCUCUGAAGUGAUGAAGCUGGAAUUGAGUGGAGAUGAGUUCCUCGAGUUUCUGAAGAAGUUGAAUGAGGAGUGCAUUAAGCUGACCGUUCCUGUGCAGACCGUGAAUAAGCGUUUUCUCAGUCGUUCCCACCAGAUGGUGCUGCAGUGGACACCAACUGCAAAUUAUAUUGAAGUCUGCAAAGACUUGGUUUGCAGUGUUGAAAAGCUGGGAGAAGAAGCUGCCAAACUGCAGGACCUGAUGGAGAAGGUGGGUAUGGGCAGCAUGAACAGAGGAAUGACCCCAGACAAGUGAAACUUCCAGAAAAAGCACCCAUGUUGGAAAAAAGAUUAGUGAAAAUGGGAGGGAUAACAUUGCUUGGAUUUGUUUUUUUCUUAUUUAUAACCAAGGGGUGUGUGGAGUCUUAAUCUUUGAUGUUCCCUCCAGAGACUAGUAAGGAGAAGAUAAAAACUCGAGUGCUACUCCAGUUGCUGCCACAGUUGUUCUCUGCUUUUUGUUUUAGAAAGCUACAUUGGGUGUUGGUGUGUUUCCUUGUUACUGCAGUUGUUUUACCUCCUUUCCUCACAGGUUUCUCCUUCAAUGCAGGGAACAUCCUAUAGAGUGAUGAGGCCAGAGGCAAAUACAACAAAGACUGGGUUGUCACGCAUUCUGUUCCCAACCCUGGGU